GGCUAGUCUGAUGGUAAUGGGUUAAUUAGAACUUAACUAACAAUAGUGUCACUAAAGUUGGUUUACAACCCCCCACUGCUAAAUGUGACUGGCUUAAA
rnacentral:Y_RNA from 3 species